GGAGAACCGAAGCUUCCUGAGGCAUUGUGGUUUUCCAGCCAAUUGUGCCAAAUAUCUUAAUUAUUCGAGGCUUUGAUUAACACAGUGUAUACUAGUGACACCUGCUGGUCAAAAGAGCUGCCAAAUUUAGAGCUGAAUUUAGAGCUGCCAAAUUAUUAUAGAUGACGUCCCACACCCCGUAGUGCGUGCGCAGCGUAGCCUUUUUGUCUUCUACCAAAACAGUCAGGUGGUUGUUCGACGAAGUGAGGCUUCGGACGUCAUUGAUCACGUGCUUCUGAUAAAGUGAUAUCGGCGCACUGCUUUGAAGUACACUGCUUAGCGAUUUUGAUGCAUACCUCGGAGCUCCGGUAUCAAACGUAACACCACUACUAAUAGGCACACAAUUAGUUGACAAUGAACACUGUAUGGGCUCCCGUAUGAAAAAACACAUGAUUUCACAUGUGACAUUUCCACAUUUCACAUGAAGUUUCACAUGUGGAUUUUCACGUGAUUGCAUAACCUGUCAUGUGUGGAUAAACUUUUUCUCAUGAGAUUUCACAGGUGAUGCCCUGCAAACACAGCAGAAAGGUCAAUGUACUUCAAAUCCAGAGGUUGUGAGUUCAAAUCCUAGGUUGGGUCAUACUUUAGAGCUGAACAGUGAUAACGCAUGCAAUUGCACAUGGGACAACAUGUGAAGUUUCAAAAACACAUCUUUUCACAUGUGAAGUGUUCCAAAAACACAUGUCACAUGUGAAAUAUCAUGUGACACGCAGAGGAGUAGGUGGACCAGGCAGAGGAGUAGGUGGACCAGGCAGAGGAGUAGCUGGACCAGGCAGAGGAGUAAGUGGACCAGGCAGAGGAGUAGGUGGACCAGGCAGAGGAGUAGCUGGACCAGGCAGAGGAGUAAGUGGACCAGGCAGAGGAGUAGGUGGACCAGGCAGAG
rnacentral:lncRNA from 1 species